rnacentral:lncRNA from 1 species
UCAUGCUAUACUAUUUCCAAAUGAAUUUAACUCGAGUUGUGUGCCUGCACCCGCUGCUUUCUAUACACAUCCAUCUAUGCUCUUUCUGCUCUAUCCUCCCUCUUUGUAGAUUUGAUCAAGCAAAAGCCUUUACCUUUUUGUUUUGAAUCCCUAUACCCGAACUCCUUCACAUAUUCUUUUCUCUGUGUAGAGUUACAACAAUUCCAAUACACUAUUAGCACUUAACUAUGUGUCCCUUUUCUUUUACCUUCCAAUUCCCAAAAGCUAACAACCAUAAGUGCCUCAACAGUGUAAAAAAGAAAAGACCUUUCUCAACAAUCCUUAACGACUAGGGAUAUUUGGAUAAAACUUUCAAACUCUAAUUUCUCUUCCUUCAUUCACUUGUAAAUUCUUUCAUGUGUAAUACUCGCCAUUCAGAUUGCUAGGGACUGCCAUUUUUAGCUAUGUAUUACGCACUUGAUGUUAAUGUAAGUUUCAACGGAUAGAACACAUUAUCAGAGAUUCGUUGAGUCUAAUUUGUACCAUCUAACCUCGAAAAAAAAAGGAUCUGAAUGUGGAUCAUCAAAACAGAAGAAAUUCAUCCACAACUAUAUAUAUGCUCAUUAAACACUCCAAUUUUAUUUGACGUAUUCACUGAGAGUUCAUGCAUUGUCUUGUUACCUGUCCAUACCAGUAGUCCUAGUAUUGUUGUUGUAGUUUCUUGUAAUUCAAUUAUCUUAUUACUAUGCCGUAGUAACUGUUCAGAAUGCUUUGCUAUACUUUUUCUGGAUUGCCUUCAAUUGUUUUUUUCCCUAAAACCUCUCUACCUCAAUCUCCCCAGACUCCACUUUGUGGGACUGACUACAUUGAGUCAAUGCUAGAAGAAAUAGAAUUUGUAGAAAUUUCAUAAUCAGAGCAGUUCAACUAAAGGAAAAUGACAGAGUAUUGCCCUAUUUUGGACUAAACGCAAUUUCAAGUGCCAAUUUAUAACAACUAAGGAUUUCAAUUCUCGUGACAAAAAUGUAAAAGGAGUAAAAUGCGAAAGAGAGAAAACGAGCUUACCGGUGAUCACAGAGGAUAAAUAAUCGGAGAUUCCACCGGACGGAGCUCAACGUCGGAGCAAAAUUAAAUUUUCCAACGAAACGCUGUUACAAAAACGUGAUUUCACAGAUCGUAAACAACUUCUCCGUGAUCUAUUCUUAUUGGGCUUAGAUAUCACGGCUCGUUUAGAUGGG